rnacentral:rRNA from 1 species
AACGAACGCUGGCGGCAGGCUUAACACAUGCAAGUCGAGCGAGACCUUCGGGUUUACCGGCGGACGGGUGAGUAGAGCGUUGGAACGUGCCCUUCUCUACGCAAUAGCCCCGGGAAACUGGGCGUAAUACCGUAUAUGCUCCUUCGUGGGAAGAUUUGUCGGAGUAGGGUGGGCUGGCGUUGGAUUAGGUUGUUGGUGGGGUAAUGGCCCACCAAUCCGACGAUGCAUAGCUGGUUUGAGAGGAUGAUCAGCCACACUGGGAGUGAGACACGGCCCAGAAUACUACGGGAGGCAGGAGUGGGGAAUCUAAGAAAAUGGGGGCAAUCAUGAACUAGUCAGGCCGGGUGAGUGAUGAAGGCUGUAGGGAAGUAAAGCUAGUUCAGAUGGGAAGAUAAUGACGGUACCAGCAGAAGAAGCACCGGCUAACUCCGUG